CGCUACAGAAACAGGAUUAAACCUGCUGCGAGUCGAAUGAAGGCCAAGGACCCACUAAAGCUCAAAGCUAUUAUUCCUCCACUGCAUUGUCACUGUGGCAGAUGUAUUAACUUAAACCCAAAAGCCUGGGGUUUUCUGCCACUUUGCUCAUGCUUUCUGAGCGAUGAUGUGCUCACCGAUCUUUUUCUCUAGGAGUAGUGCUUAUUGCUGG
rnacentral:lncRNA from 1 species